rnacentral:rRNA from 1 species
CCUACGGGAGGCAGCAGUGGGGAAUAUUGGACAAUGGGCGAAAGCCUGAUCCAGCCAUGCCGCGUGUGUGAAGAAGGUCUUCGGAUUGUAAAGCACUUUAAGUUGGGAGGAAGGGCAGUAAGUUAAUACCUUGCUGUUUGACGUACCAACAGAAAAGAGCAUAACAC